UACGGGGGGAGCAAGCGUUGUUCGGAUUUACUGGGCGUAAAGGGCGCGUAGGCGGCCACCGCAAGUCGACUGUGAAAUCUCCGGGCUUAACUCGGAAAGGUCAGCCGAUACUGCGGGGCUAGAGUGCAGAAGGGGCAACUGGAAUUCUCGGUGUAGCGGUGAAAUGCGUAGAUAUCGAGAGGAACACCUGCGGCGAAGGCGGGUUGCUGGGCUGACACUGACGCUGACAGCGCGAAAGCUAGGGGAGCGAACGGG
rnacentral:rRNA from 1 species